UUGACCUCAAAUCAGGUAGGACUACCCGCUGAACUUAAGCAUAUCAAUAAGCGGAGGAAAAGAAACUAACAAGGAUUCCCCUAGUAACUGCGAGUGAAGCGGGAAAAGCUCAAAUUUAAAAUCUGGCGGUUUCACCGUCCGAGUUGUAAUUUAGAGAAGUGUUAUCCGCGCUGGACCGUGUACAAGUCUCCUGGAAUGGAGCGUCAUAGAGGGUGAGAAUCCCGUCUUUGACACGGACUACCAGGGCAUUGUGAUACGCUCUCAAAGAGUCGAGUUGUUUGGGAUUGCAGCUCAAAAUGGGUGGUAAAUUCCAUCUAAAGCUAAAUAUUGGGGAGAGACCGAUAGCGAACAAGUACCGUGAGGGAAAGAUGAAAAGAACUUUGGAAAGAGAGUUAAACAGUACGUGAAAUUGCUGAAAGGGAAACGCUUGAAGUCAGUCGCGUCGUUCAGGAUUCAGCUUUAGCAUCUGCUUGGUGCAUUUCCUGUUUGACGGGUCAGCAUCAGUUUUGGCCGGUGGAUAAAGGUUCAGAGAAUGUGGCAUCCUCGGAUGUGUUAUAGCUCUGGGUCGCAUACAUCGGCUGGGACUGAGGAACUCAGCACG
rnacentral:rRNA from 1 species